AGGAUCAUUCACACACAUCCAACCUUUUCACGUGCAUAUACCAGUGAGGGGGUUUGUGCAAGGGUGGUAAUGCCUUUGCGCACGCCUCCGCGGGCGACAGCGCGGAAGCGGAUCGUUUCUGCCUUUCGUGAGUGUCGCCACUUUUUUCGUGCCACUGUGUGUGCCUGCGUGAAGCUAGCUUUGCCAGCUUCAUCGCCUCUGGCAACCAUGGCUGAAGGUGCGCAAGCAUCUUCUCUGUAAGCCUUUACAACUUUCAGCGACGGAUGUCUCGGCUCAAACAACGAUGAAGGGCGCAGCGAAGUGCGAUAAGCAUUGUGAAUUGCAGAAUUCCGCGAACCAAUGGGCUUUUGAACGCAUACUGCUCCCUCAGUUCUCCUGAGGGAACGCUUGCUUCAGUGUCUUCUCCAUCUGUGCUCCUUGUGGGCGUGUUUGUGCGCCAAGGCUGGCUUCUUGCAAGCUGCUUUGGCGCGCUGAGUGCAGACUCGUGCGCAUUCCAUGCGGGCAACCCAGGAAUGGCCUUGGCCUUUUCAUUGCUCUGUGGCUGGGCACUUGUUGCCGUUUUGAGGUGGUGCUUCGGCGCCUCU
rnacentral:misc_RNA from 4 species